UGGAAAAGCAUUCCAUGUGAAGCUGGUUGAGAGAAUGCCAAGAGUGUGCAAAGCUGUCAUCAAGGCAAAGGUUAGCUACUUUGAAGAAUCUGAAAUAUAAUAUGUGUUAUUUCAUAGUUAUGAACAGACAUGUUUCUUAGCUUUUUGGAUGUUAUUCUCUCUUCAAAACUAUCCUUACAAAUUGAGACAUCUGUUGAGUAUGGAGGUAAGGUCUCCCAACAACGUUUUAAUGUUGGGCCAUGGCGUUAAAACUAUCCUUACAAAUUGAGACAUCUGUUGAGUAUGGAGGUAAGGUCUCCCAACAACGUUUUAAUGUUGGGCCAUGGCGUUAAAACUAUCCUUACAAAUUGAGACAUCUGUUGAGUAUGGAGGUAAGGUCUCCCAACAACGUUUUAAUGUUGGGCCAUGGCGUUAAAACUAUCCUUACAAAUUGAGACAUCUGUUGAGUAUGGAGGUAAGGUCUCCCAACAAUGUUUUAAUGUUGGGCCAUGGCGUUAAAACUAUCCUUACAAAUUGAGACAUCUGUUGAGUAUGGAGGUAAGGUCUCCCAACAACGUUUUAAUGUUGGGCCAUGGCGUUAAAAGAAAUCCCCCGUCGGCCUCUUAACUUUCGCUGUUACGAUUGAGCUGUGUGCGUCACGCAUAUUUGUGUAUUUGUUUAUAAUUUAAUGAACCUUCAAAACCUCUAUUUUCAAUAUUGAUCUACCAUUCUUUUGGUGCUAUUCCGUUGUAGAAUGUCACACAACAAUUCAGUUGUUUUUGAUCUGAGAACUAUUUGUUUUUUUAAUAUGUUAUAAAAUCCGUAUAUAUCUGAGGUUUUCUCAAACUUCUUUUUUUCCAUGGGGGAUUUUCUAUUUGAUAAAUAUAAAUGCUGUUCAAUGUAGUUUUUUUGAGUCAAGUGAUAUUUCUGAACUCAAGCUAGACUUUUUUGCUUGUAAAUGUUUUUUCUCUCUCUUUUUAAUUAGAGUUCUUUCUCAAGCAUGAUCCUAAAUUGUGUUACUUGUAUGAACUAUAACUCUUCAAGUGUUGUUGUUCUCGUUGUAAUCAGUUCAGAAAGUAAAAUGAUGAUAAUUAAGAUGAAGAAAGUUUUUUGUUUUUGAUUGAAUUGGAAAUAUGCAUUUAAUUGCUAUUUUUAUAUUUGAAUCUCUAGUUUAAAGGGUUCAAGAGUUCGAAUCCCGUAAUGGCAAUGGUUUGAGACAAUUUCAAAAAUACUGUUUUUUUGUUGCAUACAAUUGUAUAUAUUUAAUACUAAUCAUAUUUCUUUAUGUGGAGUAUAAGCUGAUCAAGCUUGAAGACUUAAAUGUAAAUAAAUGUGAAGUUUGGUAGUUAAAAUUAUUGUACUUGACUAUUUUUAUACCACACUAUUUUCCAUAAAUAUUAGUUUUUGUUCCUACUUCUGGUUAUUUUUCUUAUCUUACUUUUCAAUGUAUUUUUAUAAGCUUUAAAGUUAUGUACUCUUGACUUUUUUUUAUAUACUGGAAGAAAAAUCUGUUUCGGUCAAAUUCAUAAAAGCUAGUCAGUAUUACUUCAAUUUGUCAUGUCUGGUAAGAAUUAUAAUCUCUCAAUGCCUUCUGAAUCCUCCUCUUAUCCACCUGUGUCUCAGCCAGCUUUCUAGUCUUUAUGCAUUAUAUUUUCUGUUGAUGUGAUGUAAUCUUAUGUCCUUUUUUGGAUCUGAGUUGGCUUGAAAUGUAUGUGUGAAAUAUUAUGCUGUUUCCUGUGCCACUUGGUGGUACUUGUUUAUUUGUAAAGAAUGUCUAUUGCUCUUUUAUUCCAGUCUCCACUACCUCAUGUGUCCUAUAGUCUAUUCUACCAAAGUUCACUUUCUAAAUAUAUAUAUAAAUAUACAGUAUA